UAAAUGAUAUUUUCCUCACAAGAAAAGAGAUGAGAACAAUCUCUUACAAUCAUUGGAUAUCAAAUAUGGUGGUUGAAGUCUAUUGCCAAAUGCUCCAGCUGAAACAAAAGCGUAGAGGAACCAAAUUUUUCUUUCCGCCUUCGAUUGGGAUUGAACUUUCCAAGAUACCUUCAAAAGUGGUUGAUAGGAAAGGUAAAAUACAAGCAGUUUGGAACAAGUAUAAAAGG